GCAUCCCAGGCACCAGGGCCCUUGUUCCAUGAAAUGAGUCUUCCUGCAGUGCCUUUCAUCUCAGUAAACAGCUCCGUUCCUUCUGGAUGAGUCACCUAAGGGUCACCUUUGCAUCCGAGGCUCACUGGUCCUCAGUCUCACUUAGGGCCAACUUCUGCUUCCAAAGCAGAUUUCCAAACAGAUUGGAAAUGCCUGUCUCUGCCUCUGAACGUCUGCAGUCGGAAUAUUGCAAGGUCCAUCACCCUCUGAAUGAUCUAGACUCUUCAGCUCUGUGUUUGCUUUACCUUCUGAAGUUAAGAAGUGCUGUUCAACACGAUCAUGUUUCUAGACCCUGCUUCUUCUUAACAAAUGAAGGAACAAUCUGUUUUGGCCACUGAUUAAGAAACCUUGGCUUUGCUUGAGGAUGUCCAAGAGGUAAUUAAAUCACCUGGACUUUUGCAACUCCUAAAAGGAAUGAGACAUUGGUGCAGAAUAAAGUCCCCAUGUUUGGAACAAA